rnacentral:rRNA from 1 species
GACAGAGGCCCCAAGCGUUAGGCGGAAUCACUGGGCUUAAAGCGUGUGUAGGCGGACGCCUAAGUGUCUUGUGAAAUCCCACGGCUCACCCGUGGAACUGCUGGGCAUACUGGGCGUCUUGGGCCAACUAGGGGCAGCCGGAACAAGCGGUGGAGCGGUGAAAUGCGUAGAUAUCGCUUGGAACGCCGAAGGUGAAAACAGGCUGCUGGGGUUGCGCCGACGCGUGAGACACGAAAGCCCAGGGGAGCAAACGGG